rfam:Sphaerobolus stellatus SS14 unplaced genomic scaffold SPHSTscaffold_7, whole genome shotgun sequence.
AUCUGGGUAGCUCAGUUGGAAGAGCAUCAGACUGUAAUGGCUACAUACCUAUGAGUUCAUCUCAUCUGAAUGUCACUGGUUUGAUCCCGGUCCCGGAGA